AGCAUAGCGAUUUGGGAUAAGUCCCUUGGAAGAGGGCAGCAUGGAGGGUGAUACUCCCGUCUCUGCUCAGGUUGUCUGUGUGUACGAUACGCUUUCUUUGAGUCGAGUUGUUUGGGAAUACAGCUCAAAGCAGGUGGUAAAUUCCAUCUAAAGCUAAAUAUUGGUGCGAGACCGAUAACGAACAAGUACCGUGAGGGAAAGAUGAAAAGAACUUUGAAAAGAGAGUUAAAGAGUACCUGAAACUGUUGAAAGGGAACCGUAUCGUUUCUAGUGUGUAUCCUAUGCAUAUUUCAUUGGCGGUUGUAAAAUUGCUGGUGCCCUGUGUAUGGGUGUGACGUCAGAGUCAGUUUGAAUUGCGGGAGAUGGGUAGUGAGGAGGUGCGUCACUUUUUGUGAAAGUUACAGCCCGCUAUCUAGUAGCCGUGGUUGAGACUGAGGUGCC
rnacentral:rRNA from 2 species